rnacentral:rRNA from 1 species
AUUGAACGCUGGCGGCAAGCCUAACACAUGCAAGUCGAACGAGUGGCGGACGGGUGAGUAAUUUCUGGGAAACUGCCUGAUGGAGGGGGAUAACUACUGGAAACGGUAGCUAAUACCGCAUACCAUCGGAUGUGCCCAGAUGGGAUUAGCUAGUAGGUUGGGUAAAGGCUAACCUAGGCGCCGCUCCCUAGCUGGUCUGAGAGGAUGACCAGCCACACUGGAACUGAGACACGGUCCAGACUCCUACGGGAGGCAGCAGUGGGGAAUAUUGCACAAUGGGCGCAAGCCUGCUGCAGCCAUGCCGCGUGUAUGAAGAAGGCCUUCGGGUUGUAAAGUACGUGCAGCGGGGAGGCGUUACCCGCAGAAGAAGCACCGGCUAACUCCGUGCCAGCAGCCGCCGUAAUUC